AUCGAACGCUGGCGGCAGGCUUAACACAUGCAAGUCGAGCGGAGCGGCGGACGGGUGUGUAAUGCCUAGGAAUCUGCCUGGUCGUGGGGGAUAACGUCCGGAAACGGGCGCUAAUACCGCAUACGAGCAGAUGAGCCUAGGUCGGAUUAGCUAGUGUGUGGGGUAAAGGCCUACCAAGGCGACGAUCCGUAACUGGUCUGGGAGGAUGAUCAGUCACACUGGAACUGAGACACGGUCCAGACUCCUACGGGAGGCAGCAGUGGGGAAUAUUGGACAAUGGGCGAAAGCCUGAUCCAGCCAUGCCGCGUGUGUGAAGAAGGUCUUCGGAUUGUAAAGCACUUUAAGUGGGGAUGCGUUACCAACAGAAUAAGCACCGGCUAACUUCGUGCCAGCAGCCGCGGUAAUUC
rnacentral:rRNA from 1 species